GACGAACGCUGGCGGCGUGCCUAAUACAUGCAAGUAGAACGCUGAAGGAGGAGCUUGCUUCUCUGGAUGAGUUGCGAACGGGUGAGUAACGCGUAGGUAACCUGCCUGGUAGCGGGGGAUAACUAUUGGAAACGAUAGCUAAUACCGCAUAAGAGUAGAUGUUGCAUGACAUUUGCUUAAAAGGUGCAAUUGCAUCACUACCAGAUGGACCUGCGUUGUAUUAGCUAGUUGGUGGGGUAACGGCUCACCAAGGCGACGAUACAUAGCCGACCUGAGAGGGUGAUCGGCCACACUGGGACUGAGACACGGCCCAGACUCCUACGGGAGGCAGCAGUAGGGAAUCUUCGGCAAUGGACGGAAGUCUGACCGAGCAACGCCGCGUGAGUGAAGAAGGUUUUCGGAUCGUAAAGCUCUGUUGUAAGAGAAGAACGAGUGUGAGAGUGGAAAGUUCACACUGUGAUGGUAGCUUACCAGAAAGGGACGGCUAACUACGUG
rnacentral:rRNA from 1 species